rnacentral:rRNA from 1 species
GUGGGGAAUCUUGCGCAAUGGGCGAAAGCCUGACGCAGCCAUGCCGCGUGAAUGAUGAAGGUCUUAGGAUUGUAAAAUUCUUUCACCGGGGACGAUAAUGACGGUACCCGGAGAAGAAGCUCCGGCUAACUUCGUGCCAGCAGCCGCGGUAAUACGAAGGGGGCUAGCGUUGUUCGGAAUUACUGGGCGUAAAGCGCGCGUAGGCGGACAGUUUAGUCAGAGGUGAAAGCCCAGGGCUCAACCUUGGAAUUGCCUUUGAUACUGGCUGUCUUGAGUACGGGAGAGGUGAGUGGAACUCCGAGUGUAGAGGUGAAAUUCGUAGAUAUUCGGAAGAACACCAGUGGCGAAGGCGACUCACUGGCCCGUUACUGACGCUGAGGCGCGAAAGCGUGGGGAGCAAACAGGAUUAGAAACCCGAGUAGUCC